rnacentral:ribozyme from 1 species
GGCAGAGUCGUGGCGUGGCGGUGGCUGCAGCGGCGAGUAGGGUGGAGCGUAGGGUGGCGCGGUGAAGGCGGCGCGGAGGGUCGCGGCGCGGAGAUGCUCUCUCAGAGGUUGGGAGGCGCCGUGGGUAAGGUCGUUCGUAGCGU